rnacentral:rRNA from 1 species
UACGUAGGGUGCGAGCGUUAAUCGGAAUUACUGGGCGUAAAGCGUGCGCAGGCGGUUUUGUAAGUCAGAUGUGAAAUCCCCGGGCUCCACCUGGGAACUGCGUUUGAAACUACAAGACUAGAGUGUAGCAGAGGGGGGUGGAAUUCCACGUGUAGCAGUGAAAUGCGUAGAGAUGUGGAGGAACACCGAUGGCGAAGGCAGCCCCCUGGGUUAACACUGACGCUCAGGCACGAAAGCAUGGGGAGCAAACAGG